AUGAUUAUGCAAUGUCUCGGAGCCGUCUGUGGUGCCGGAGUAGUCAAGGGUUUCCAGCCAACGCCGUACCAGACUCUCGGUGGCGGUGCCAACACUGUCGCUCCUGGCUACUCCAAGGGAUCUGGUCUCGGUGCUGAAAUCAUCGGAACCUUUGUUCUCGUCUACACGGUCUUCUCCGCCACCGACGCCAAGAGAAGCGCCCGUGACUCACACGUCCCGGUAAGAGAUCUCACUUUUCCGGUUUAUCCCGGUUUGAUGAUGCUCAGGAGUGUUUGGUUCGUACUUGCGCGACUAAUAAUUGCUAAUUUUAUUUUGUUUAUUAAAAUGGAAAAAAAAAUGGUAGAUAUUGGCACCGCUACCAAUAGGGUUUGCAGUGUUCUUGGUACACCUGGCGACAAUUCCGAUAACCGGGACCGGAAUCAACCCAGCUAGAAGCCUUGGAGCCGCAAUUAUCUACAACAAGGACCACUCCUGGGAUGAUCAUGUGAGUCAUUUUAAAAACAUUUAUUUCUUGGUAAUUAUUUGAAAUAAAAGAUUUUUGAAAAUUUGAAAUUUAAUCGUGUGUUGGGCAGUGGAUAUUCUGGGUGGGACCAUUCAUUGGAGCAGCUCUAGCAGCACUCUAUCACACGAUUGUCAUCAGAGCCAUUCCUUUCAAGAGCAAGAGCAAGAGCUGAAGGAUGAUGAUGAAACAAAAUAAAUAUUCAAAUGUCCUUGCUUACUAUUUUUAUCAUGUAGCUUUUGUGUGUUGCAAUGUAUUUACUACUCUCUUUAAGGAGGAGUCUAUUUUAAGAAUGGUAUUUGGUAUUUUGUGAAUUUCUUGUAUGCUUUUAAAGUACAUUGGGUUGUUCUAUGUGUUGUUUAGUUGUUAAUCAUCUCUGGUUUGCAAUGUACUUCUACACUGUUCUUUGUGUUGCAUCUCAAAAUGAUUUGGGGUUUCUAUUGUAAUAAAAGCGUUUCAACUUUCAACGUAGUGCAUCUGUCUCUCCUAGAAAAGCAUAAUUAAUUUAUGCGGUGAUUCAUUCAAUUAUGUAAUGGCGAAACUAUCUUGGGCCUUACUUAUGCUGCGAAGCCGAAAUCGAAAAAGUGUAGGCCCAAAAGAAAGCCAGUGGCAUAUUGUGAGAAUAAAGUUGCUUGCUUUAUUUUUGUCUCUGCCUCCUCCUAUGGGUAUCUUCUACGGUAUGGGUAUUUCUAACCCCCGUUCUAUUUUUCACUCUAAAAUAAAAUUUAGAAUAAAAUUCUAUAGUUGAUCAUAAAAAAAAAGAGUAAAAUUCUAUUUCUCAUUCUAUUUUUUAAUUUAAAAUAGAAUCUAACCUAUACUAAAAGGGGAAUAUAGUCAAAGGAGAGCCUGUCCACGUUGGAUUAAAUAAUCAACCAAUCAGAAGACAUUAAUUUGCCAUGUCACAACACCUUUGUCGAGUUAUUGGACCUUCCGUGUUGUCUCCAAAAAUUAAAUCAUGGCCCGUGUAAAGCCCAGCUGCCAAAAACCUAUCUCCUAAGCAUCUAUCAAUACGACUCUUCCACUUCGUCUUCUACGUCUCCAUCUACUGUAAAAGGCGUAACAGACCCCCUGAUCAAUCAGUGAUACUCUUCAAUCCCCCUUUGAUGGUUUCGUUCCACCUCCCCUUCAUUCUCCACCUAUAUAAAUCAUUACAUCUAAACCUAAAUUCAGACAAAAUCGGAAACUUCCACAGAAAGAGAUCACGCUAUAACCAUGAACUCUGCUAAAUCAAACGGAAAGGUAGGAGUAUACAAUAUUUUGUGCUCUAUAUUGAUUAUAUGACUUCAUUUUUAUUGCAUUUGUAUAUAGAAAAUUCUUCUGUCUACUAUUAUUGUUUGUUUCUGAUGGCUGUGGAUAUUGGGUUAUGCAGUGUGUUCAUGAAGGAGAAGAUAAAUUGAGUUAUAUUUAGUUUUGUACAACAUCAUCUUUUACAGUGCCUUGAACAAGACCUGAACCAAGAUCGCUUGAUCUCAUGGAGCCAACAUAACCAAACUGAUAAAGAAGGAAGAAGGCUGAUCAUACAGGCAUGCGCAAUUGCCUCCGGCGCCGUCGUCUUCUCUGAGUCCUCCUUAUCGACUUGGGAGGACAAGGAUUCAUCUUUAGGUAUGCGUCGGUGGCGUAAGGCAUCAGCUUAUUUUCUCUCUUAAAUGCUUCAAAGAUCUCCUUGGCUCUCAUAAAUUUGGUUCAUUUGAUCAUUUCCAUUGAUGGGUCUGCCUUCGCUCACAGAUUCCUGUUGUGUUGGAGUUUAUGCCUUUUGAAACUUCCUCUAAGCAUCUCUUCCACUGUAAGUAUUUUCUCAUCUUUUAAGAGAUUAGCAAUAAUCUUAAUGUUUGAUCUGAUUUUGUUUGACAUAUCUCAGUGAUGAUAUAACUCAUUCUGAUGUUAUAUAUGAACUAUUCUUGGUAAAUUGUGAUGAUAUAUGCAGGGGAUAUCAAGCCAAUGAAGUAGGCGAGGAGGGUGAGAGCGGAUUGCGGCAACACAGAUCGCGUUUGUUUUCUCCUUUCAAUUUGCUCUUCCUUCUCUAUUUUGUUUGUUCUCCCUUCCUUCUUUCGGUUUGGUCAAUUAUGUUGUUGUUUCUUUUGAGAUUUUCGAGUUUAUCACUAUCUUCGAAAGUGGUUGUGUUGCUAACCAUGGCGUACGUCUUUCUUCGAGUGUACAGCGAAGGCAGCAGUGGUAGGGUUUACCAGUGUGGAAUUCCAGAAAGGCCUCUCGAUUGUUAACCUUUAUAUGUAAGUGAAAUACCUUUGUUCCUUAUAAUCUCUAACUUCAAGUAUUUGAUUUGUGUUGUUUUGGGAAUGAGAUUUUUCCAUUGGUUUGAUUAGUAAACAACAUUAUGUUGAUAUUGUUCUGUGCAAUAAUAUCAAUUUGGUUUUAUAUUUUUAUGUGUAGAGAGGAUAAAGUUGCUCAUGAUUUCUGAAACAACACACACUUCUUCUUCUUAAUCCUCAAAGAUGAAUCUACCAAGUCUCCUCUCCAGGUUAAUGGACUCUAAACAGAGCACUUGAAAGUUGAUUUUUUUUGGUGUGUCAUGUGUGCAACAGCAGUUUUUAUCGUUUCACACUAGGCUUAUUAUCCUUUAGUAAAGAGCUAACUGAUAUGAAUUAGCUUACUAUAAGAAAUGUUAAUGGAAUUAACUUAACAGCAAAUUGCAUUUAAAAAACGUAGACCUUCAAACAUAUAUAUGGAUUGAACAUAGAUUCUGUAGAUAUAAAGGUUGUAGAGUUUCUUUUAAAUGCAUUUAUCAUUCAUCAUUUUAAUGUUUCUACUUAUCUUAUGGAUUAUUUGAUUGCCAAGUUCAGUAAGUAAAUUUUGUAUGACUUUCUUAAUGUUACAAACCCAUUAUCUCUAUCGAACUAACAUAAUUUUUUUUUAUCUUGAUUACCACUGCUCAGAUAUGUGAUGUUUGAUCGAUCACCAAUCACCAAUCACCAUCCUAUUCUCCAGGUGGGCGUGCUUGAUGGCCAUUAGUGAAGCUCUGUCAAGAACGACUAUAGUGGAAAAUGAAUUUUUGAAUGAGUACGAAGGUGGUGGAAAAUAUAGCAUCGGUGAUCAUGGUUAUUGCUACAGCUGUGGUGGUGGUUGAUACGCGAAAUCAUAUAUAACUAUAUAUACUUCAAAUGUAUUUAUUUUUAGUUUUAUCUAUGUUCUAAGUUUAGUUAUCUAAUUAUUUAAUUUUAUUGUGUAUAUCAUGCUUAUCUGGCAUGUUUAAUGGCUUGAAACACAGUUUUGUUUAUUUGUUAUAUUUAAUUUUUCUCAUUGAUCAUAUAUAAAAAAAUACAUAAUUUCUCAAAAAAUGAUAAAGCCUGGUCAAAAGUUAACUUAAAAGUAUUUUUUUGUGUAACAUAGGAGAUAAUUUUUUUUUUUUGUAAUGUGACAGAGAAGAUAAUUGAUAUUUUGUGUGUGUAUAAAGCUUAGAUUAACUUAAAGUAUUUUUUGACUAAAAUUUGAGAUAUUUUACAUUUACUAUAGCGUUUAAUUUUGGGUCUGUAAGACACCUACAUUUAGCAAAUUAACACGACUAAUUUUUUUAUUUUUCCGUGAUACCAAACAUAACGUUUUAUGAAUGAAAUUAGAAGUUGCACAUAUAUAACAAAGUAAGAUUAAUUUAACAGUUUAGUAAGAAAACAAUUUUACAAAUUAAGGACGUUAGUUUAUAUAUACCACAUAUAAAAUAUGUAGAUGUUACAUCAUUUGUAAUAAAAAAAAACCGGAGAGUUAAGCUCAUGGUCGUUUUGGAGAGCAGGAAUCGCCGAGUUCAUAGCUACCUUUCUCUUCCUUUACAUCACAGUGUUGACAGUAAUGGGAGUGAAGAGAGCACCAAACAUGUGUGCCUCUGUGGGAAUCCAAGGCAUCGCUUGGGCUUUUGGUGGCAUGAUCUUUGCUCUCGUCUACUGUACUGCUGGAAUUUCUGGUAAUUAAUUUCCUCCAUUUUCUGGUUACUUGUAGCCUACGGAAAGUCUCUUGUGUUGGUUUCUCUGUAAUUUGGUUUUAGAUCUACGGAAUAUGUCUCUGUGACUCUGUUAGAAAAGUUUGGUUCUUGGAUUCUUUGUUGUUGUUUCUGUAACAUAUGUUUGUGUGUUUUAAUGUUUCAGGUGGACACAUCAACCCUGCGGUUACGUUCGGUCUGUUCUUGGCUAGGAAGUUGUCUCUGACCAGAGCUGUUUUCUACAUGAUUAUGCAAUGUCUCGGAGCCGUCUGUGGUGCCGGAGUAGUCAAGGGUUUCCAGCCAACGCCGUACCAGACUCUCGGUGGCGGUGCCAACACUGUCGCUCCUGGCUACUCCAAGGGAUCUGGUCUCGGUGCUGAAAUCAUCGGAACCUUUGUUCUCGUCUACACGGUCUUCUCCGCCACCGACGCCAAGAGAAGCGCCCGUGACUCACACGUCCCGGUAAGGGAUCUCACUUUUCCGGUUUACCCCGGUUUGAUGAUGCUCAGGAGUGUUUGGUUCGUACUUGCGCGACUAAUAAUUGCUAAUUUUAUUUUGUUUAUUAAAAUGGAAAAAAAAA
rnacentral:lncRNA from 1 species